UUACCUUUUCAUAAAACAAAAAUAUACUUUCCUCCGCUUCAACGCAGUCACCCCAUCGUGUCUGCCACUUCCGAAGCAGCUCUGGAGUCCUCUUUCAGGAGUGUCUGACGGUGUGUGGUCAGAAACAGCGAAUGCUGCUGCCUUCUGGCCCUGGGAGACUCCGGCUCCGCCCUCAAGUCAGAAUGGCCACGACAGUAAUCCAAGAAAUGAGUGUAAGAACGGAAUCCACCAAGAGCGCGUCCGGACAGGAAGUUCACAGCCGAACGGUUCUCAGCCAGGACCGGGCGAGAUCCGAGCCCAAGCUGCCUUGCAUCAAUUAAAACAGGGAGACAGAGGAUUUUCGAAGAGGGAGACCGGAUACAGGAAGAAUGCUGAUAUGGUAGCCCUCUAUGGAAAUAACAUCAGAAACCUGGAAUUCUACCUCAAGCUUGAUUACAGCAAGCGACACCAGCCCAGGGCUAGCAGUGGAUCGUCAGCACGUGACAGCAUGCAUCCUCAUCUCGCAGGACAGGAGCUGGAGGCUUGAAAAGCACAUUGCUCAGGAUUACAUGGCCAUCAAGGGAUGCACCGGACUAUGGCUCAGCUUUUCUGAGGAUGAAGCCUGACCUUUAUCGGUCAUGGUACAGAGCACGUACCCUGCCUGACCUUUAUCGGUCAUGGUACAGAGCACGUACCCUACGUGUAUGUAGAUUUACACUGGAUUUGUGGUCAGUUUGACUUCAGUCUUUGAUCACGUGAAGUUGGAUCCAGCCAUAUUUCUCCAUUGUGUGAUUCUGUUUUGUCACGUGCGAGUAUACUUAACCUACCUGGCAUGUACCAUCUCUUUUUACUUAAGUGUAUAACGUAUUUUUCCCCA
rnacentral:lncRNA from 1 species